GGAGAGGAAGGAUAAAUGCAGAUGUUUAACAGUAGAGAAGUGGUUUUAAGUUUUGACUGAAUUUGGGGUUUGAGACAGUGGUUUUAAGUAGCUCUGACCUAUCCAUGCAUUUUCUUUCAUAAUUGGAGAUCCAGCUACUCUUUCAGCUUAAUCCCUGUGAAAUGCUGCAGUAAAUUCAGGUCAUCUUACUAUGGUAAUUCUGAGACUGGAAAUGUUACUCUGUUCUGCUUUGAUAACUAGUGAAGAACCAUCUUUAGUGAAGAGGUCUCACGUGGAUCUGUGAGCUGUACAGCCUGGGAUGGAGAUCCUGCUUUUCCUCCUCACUGCAAAAUCCCCAUCAGCAGUCCUGGUGUGGCACUGAACGCCUUCAAAGGGUCAUUUCUGCACAAGGCACAUUUCCUGCUCCCAUGACUAACAGGUAUUGCAUCUGACUAAUGGUGUUUGGUGCUAUUUGAGGAACAUGAAGCUGGAGGCAUUUCUUGGGAGUUGUGGUAUAUCCCUUUCUACGUGCCAGGGCUUGCAGAAGUGCAAGAGAGUACACAGAGCUCCAGAGAGCACCAGCAGCAGUAGUGCAUGUUACAGUGACAGAAAAAGCCUUCUGUGGCAACUUGAACUUCUUUUGGAUAUCUUCUUGUCAGCGACUGAAGUAGUUGCAAAUAUUUUCUUUUUGGUGGUGUUGCUUUCUA